rnacentral:tRNA from 1 species
GCCUUCAUGGUGUAGUGGUCCUCAUGCUCGACGCGUAACCGAGAGGUCCGUGGUUCGAUUCCCGGCGAAGGCG